CUCCCGCCCCGGCCCCUGUCCCCGGAACCGGCGGUCGAGCGGCGGCAGCUCUCCUCACGGAGCCGCCGGCAUGAACGCAUCCCGCCGCCCCGCGUCCCCGACCCGGUCCUUCUGACAAGAGGAGUAAGAAGAUUGCUAUUGAAUUACAACCAUGGUGCAAAAAUACCAGUCCCCAGUGCGGGUGUAUAAACAUCCCUUUGAGUUGAUUAUGGCUGCCUAUGAGAGGAGGUUUCCCACAUGUCCUUUGAUUCCAAUGUUCGUGGACAGCGACACCGUGAGCGAAUUCAAGAGUGAAGAUGGGGCUAUUCAUGUCAUUGAGAGGCGCUGCAAGCUGGACAUAGACGCGCCCAGGCUGUUGAAGAAGAUUGCAGGAGUAGAUUACGUUUAUUUUGUCCAGAAAAACUCGCUGAAUUCUCGAGAUCGCACUUUGCACAUUGAGGCCCACAAUGAGACGUUUUCUAACCGGGUCAUCAUCCACGAGCACUGCUGCUAUACGGUUCACCCAGAGAAUGAAGACUGGACCUGUUUUGAACAGUCUGCGAGUUUAGAUAUCAAGUCCUUCUUCGGUUUUGAAAGUACAGUGGAAAAAAUUGCCAUGAAACAUUAUACAAGCAACAUUAAAAAAGGGAAAGAGAUCAUCGAGUACUACCUGCGGCAGCUGGAGGAGGAAGGCAUCACCUUUGUGCCCCGCUGGAGCCCGCCCCCCCUGGGGCCCUCAUCAGACACGUGUUCAGCAAGCAAGAGUCAAGCCACAUCAGCAGCGGUCCUUGUCCCAGCUGCUGCCGCCUGCAGGGAGGGGCUGAGCGGGGAUAACCUCGGGAGCCCAGGAACAGCGUCCGAGCCCGUGGUGGGAACUCCUGAUGACAAACUAGAUGCCGACUACAUCAAGAGAUACUUGGGUGACCUGACCCCCCUCCAAGAGAGCUGCCUCAUUAGACUGCGCCAGUGGCUUCAGGAGACACACAAGGGCAAAAUCCCAAAGGACGAGCAUAUUCUCCGGUUUCUGCGUGCCCGAGACUUUAAUAUUGACAAGGCCAGAGAGAUCAUGUGCCAGUCCUUAACUUGGAGGAAACAGCACCAGGUGGAUUACAUUCUGGACACUUGGACUCCGCCCCAGGUCCUUCAGGACUACUACGCUGGGGGCUGGCAUCACCAUGACAAAGAUGGACGGCCGCUGUAUGUGCUCAGGCUGGGCCAGAUGGACACCAAGGGCUUGGUGCGAGCUCUCGGAGAAGAGGCCCUACUGCGAUACGUUCUGUCCAUAAAUGAAGAAGGUCUGAGACGGUGUGAGGAAAAUACCAAAGUCUUUGGCCGGCCAAUCAGCUCGUGGACCUGCUUGGUGGACCUUGAGGGACUAAACAUGCGCCACCUGUGGCGACCAGGGGUCAAAGCCUUGCUGCGCAUCAUCGAGGUGGUGGAAGCCAACUACCCGGAGACGCUGGGCCGCCUCCUCAUUCUCCGAGCUCCCAGGGUCUUCCCUGUCCUCUGGACACUGGUUAGUCCAUUUAUUGAUGACAACACCAGAAGGAAGUUCCUCAUUUAUGCAGGAAAUGACUACCAGGGCCCUGGAGGCCUGCUGGAUUACAUCGAUAAAGAGAUUAUUCCUGAUUUCCUGAGUGGGGAGUGCAUGUGUGACGUGCCAGAGGGAGGACUGGUCCCCAAGUCCUUGUACAGGACUGCAGAGGAGCUGGAAAAUGAAGACCUGAAGCUCUGGACCGAGACCAUCUACCAGUCUGCCAGCGUGUUCAAAGGAGCCCCACAUGAGAUUCUCAUUCAGAUUGUGGACGCCGCCUCCGUGAUCACCUGGGAUUUUGAUGUGUGCAAAGGGGACAUCGUCUUUAAUAUUUAUCACUCCAAGAGGUCUCCCCAGCCACCCAAAAAGGACUCACUCGGGGCCCACAGCAUCACUUCUCCAGGAGGGAACAACGUGCAGCUCAUAGACAAAGUCUGGCAGCUGGGCCGGGACUACAGCAUGGUGGAGUCUCCUCUGAUCUGCAAAGAAGGCGAGAGUGUGCAGGGGUCCCAUGUGACCAGGUGGCCGGGCUUCUACAUCCUACAAUGGAAAUUCCACAGCAUGCCGGCCUGCGCUGCCACCAACCUGCCCCGGGUGGACGAUGUGCUGGCCUCCCUGCAAGUGUCCUCCCACAAAUGCAAAGUGAUGUACUACACAGAGGUGAUCGGCUCUGAGGAUUUCAGAGGCUCCAUGAGCAGCCUGGAGUCCAGCCACAGCGGGUUCUCCCAGCUCAGCGCCGCCACCACCUCCUCCAGCCAGUCGCACUCCAGUUCCAUGGUUUCCAGGUAGUGCUGCGAGCCUGUGCCUAGUGCGGAGGGAGCCUCGCUGUGUCUCCGCCCACCCCAGGAUGCAGACUCCUCCCUCUAGAUAGCAGCUAGCAGAUGGUCACUAGUCACCUGGUCCCCAGACGAUCCUGACAGUGAAUGAGUUGUGGGACACCCUCCAGAGACUCGCCACCUCCUCCUCCACGACCGAAGCUGCGGCUGGCAUCCCUUAAGCUGCAGCGGAGUCCUCUCGGCUCCCUGUUAGUGGAGGUGGCCGAUGGAUCCAGGACAGCUCUUGAGGUCCCUUUCCUCUAAGGACUUGGCAGCCUGCAGAAGCACCCAGUCCUGGGGCAGAGCCAGCCCACUCCUGAGCAGGCCUCUCGGCCCAGGACGGUUGCCGGGCUCCUCCUCUUGACUCCCGACAGCACCGCCAUCAUUAAACAUUGCUUUCUCUUUCCUCCUCUUCAAAUCUUUUGAUAUUUUUCAGAGCAAAAUUUUUCUGUCCGUGAGCUUGGGGAAGGGGAGAGGGGAGAAUUCUUUCCCUCUGCUGAGUGCUUCCUUUCCUCCCUGCAGGUGGGCUGCCCUGUGCCCUCCCAGCACCCAGGGUUCUCAGUCCUCCCAGCACCCAGGGUUCUCAGUCCUCCCAGCACCCAGGGUCCUCAGUUCUCCCAACACUUAGGGUCCUCAGUCCUCUUAGCACUCAGGGUCCUCAGCUCUCAGCGGGGUGUUUGGAAGCAGUAGGUCACACUUGCCUUUUGGAAGUGUGGCAGUGCAAACUCUAGCAGUGCUCUCCAGGGUGGCGCAUGGCUUGCAGUGACCUUGGGAAUGUGGGUGGAUGUUGUGGGUAUGUAUGUUUGUAGGUGCUGUGUGUGUGCACGGGGGAGUGGGGUGCUCCUGGAGAGGGCCGUAGAGCUGCGCUUGUUCUGUCUGUGUUUCAUAGAAGGGGGUCUGAGGCUGGGGCUAGUUUGGGGGUUUUUUGUUUUUCUUUUUUCUGAUCCUGACUUCCCAAAGCCUGCUGUUAGAGCAGAUCCUCGAUUUUCAGCUUUUCUGGGGACAGCAUGCUUCUGAUCGAGUUGUCUGGAAGUUGCAGGUAGCUGAUUUCCAGAGAAGAAUGUAGGAUCUGUGUGUGUGUGUGUGUGUGUGUGUGUGUGUGUGUGUGUGUGUGUGGUAACAGUGUCUGAGGAUGUGUGCCAACUGCGAAUGGCCAUGAGUGUAUGACGGGAGCAGACUCCUGUGUAGACACUGCUCUGAGGUACUGGCUGCCUGGCUGUGGGAUUUGAGAGCUCUGUAGAGGCUGCGGCAUGUCAGCAGCAUGAGGAGAGGCGUUACAGCAGCCUGGCUUGGCCGAUGAGCCCCCUGGCUCCUGGCACCCUGAGCCAUGCUUGGGCCUCUGGUUGCUGGUCUUUCUGGCCCUACUGGCACGCACUUCCUGUGCAUGGGGGCUGCUUGCAUAGAGCACAGCAGGGCUGUAGCUAUGCCCAUGCUGCUUCCAGUCAGGGCUUCCCAGCUCCAAGCGAAGGGACCUGAAGAUGCCCCCCUGCUCUUUCUUUCUCUCUUCUCUCUCCCUUUUCCUCUCCCUUUCUCCAUGUCCCAGAUGGCGAUUUUGCUGACAGCCUUCAAGAAAGCGCUUCACUCGACAGCCCACAUGUGCCCAGAGAUGUUUGUAGACCUAUCUGAGUCGCAGCCAUGUCCCAGGCUGAAGAGCUGUCCCCUAAGUCCAUUCAGAAGUGGCACUGUGUAGCCCCUCAGAGCUGAGAGCAUCUUUAAGUGCUCACAGCACACAACUCCACGCUCACAGGCCCUCAGCUUCCCGAGCCCCAGGGCACUGGCUGCCUUGUGAGGGGAGACUGACUGUGAAAUGACCGUGCAGCUCUGAGAGCUGCUUCCCCCAGUGCCCAGCACCUUCCUAAAAUGCUGCUCCCCUCCGCCCCCCUGGGCUCUCCUUGUUUCUAGUGUCUUAAGUCACUCUCCUUCCCGAAUCCAUUAUUUGCAUAUCAAAUUCUGUAAAUGUUUUGUAAACAUAUUACCUCACUCUUGGUAAUACAAUACUGAUAGUCUUUAAAAGAUUUUUUUAUUGUUACAAUAAUAAAUGUGAACUGUUUAA